AGACAUCUGUUCCUUUGACAAAGCUUCUUAUGUUUCGUCAGAUUUCAGAAUGUCUUAAAACAAAUCUGGAUUACUUCACCCGGAACUGUAUUUUCAAUUACAUUGUCUGGCUUUUGCGGAUUCAUACAAUC